rnacentral:pre_miRNA from 1 species
AGUGGGAUUGCUGGGUUAUAUGUUAAGUAUGUGUUUAACUUUAUAAGAAACUGUCAAACUGUUUUCCAGAGGGAUUGUACCAUUUCUAUUCCUACCAGCAAU